rnacentral:rRNA from 1 species
GACGAACGCUGGCGGCGUGCUUAACACAUGCAAGUCGAACGGCAAGGCCCUGCUAUUGUGCGGUGCCCGAGUGCCGAACGGGGGAGUAACAGGUGUGCAACCUACCCUUGACUUUGGGAUAACUUCAGGAAACUGGGGCUAAUACCGGAUAGCAGCUCCUGUUCCAUGGUGAGGGUUGGAAAGUUUCGGCUGGCGGGGAUGGACGCGCGGCUUAUCAGCUUGUUGGUUGGGUAGUGGCUUACCAAGGCUGUGACGGGUAGCCGGCAUGAGAGGGUGACCGGGCACAUUGGGACUGAGAUACGGACCAGAGUCGUACGGGAGGCAGCAGGGGGGAGUAUUGCACAAUGGGAGGAAGCCUGAGGCAGCAACGCCGCGUUCGGGAAGACGGCCUGCGGGUUGAGAACAGCUUUAGCCUGAGACGAAGCGUUAGUGACGGUAAUGGGUAAAGAAGCACCGGCUAACUACGUG